AGCUUUUUUAAAAAAAUGAGUUGAAAAUCUUUUAAGAAAAUAAAAUAAAAAAUAAAUGCUAAAUGUAUGAAGAUGUGAAAAACAUGUUGGAUUUGUGGAAUCGCUAAUGACCACGGUUAAAUGGCGGGAUCCAAAAUUCGGUUAGAUUUCACAACGUCAUAUUAAUUUAGUAUUUAUGUAAAAACUUUAAAAAACUGAGUUGAAAAUCUUUAUAAAAAAAAAAAAUGCUAAAAUAUACAUGAAGAUGUGAAAAACAUGUUGGAUUUGUGGAAUCGCUAAUGACCACGGUUAAAUGACGGGAUCCAAAAUCCAAUUAGAUUUCAUAACGUCAUAUUAAUUUAGCAUUUAUAAAACUUUUU
rnacentral:sRNA from 1 species